CCUCAACAGUUGAACUAAAAUGAACUCCAGUUAUCUAGGAGUUGCUCAGCCAGUCUUAGAAUAGCCUAGGACACUUUGGGUUUCUGUGUAUCAGCAAUAAAAUGAAUGCAAAGGAUACACCGACGAGGGGCUAUCAAACCCUACAACGAAGCAGAAUUGUCUUCCUUUCAAGAAGAAUUAAGAGUUCAGUGAUGGAGCCAGAAGAGACAAGUAUCUAAAGACACUGGACCAGCCCAUUCCUCUAGAGAACAUUUAGGGAAGUUGGAAUUUUAAGAAUAACUUGCCAAGAGGAAGAUAUACUCAUCAACAGUUGGGGAAAACCCACAGGCAAUUUGAAUGAGAUUCUCAGAAUGAAACAGGGUUGGGACAACCCAUUUCUCGAGUCAAGGAGCAGAUAGAGGGCCUGAGAGCAUGCUAACAUACUCAUGAUCACUGUGGUCUCAGCGAAGUACCACAGAUAAACUCUCCAUGGAGAUUGUUAAUAAUAUCACAAAAUAAGUUUGGAUAAUGGCACGAUUUAUAGUCAUCUGAGAGUUUGGGCUUUUGAAGAAUUUGAAGUCUGUGAAUCAUCAGAAGAUCAUUAUAAAAGGCUUGUGCAGUUCAAAUUUGGGGUUUUUGUCUGAGCUUGAGAAGGUCUGGAUAUUGACAUUUUAUAAUUUACAACUCCUACAAUGAAAUGUCCGUUUAAACUAAAAAAAUGCUCUCUAAAAGCUUUUAUUUAUUUUUUACAAUUUGCCACCCAGGUUGGACUGAUAUUUUGAGACUGUGGUGUCCCAGUGGCCCCCUUUAGUAAAACUUCCCAAGAGCUCUAUUACUCCUUUUAGGGGGUCCCUGAAGCUUGAACUUCUGCCUCAUCAAAUAUCUAAUCACUUCUGAGCUACAAGUAAAAACUGCUUUUAGGAAAUCCCCUCCCCGCCCUUUUGGGCCCUUCUAUUGUAUGUUCUAUGUUUUAUGGUUUGGGGUUUUGGGGUUUUUGAAAGUGACAACAGAACUUACUUCUGCAUUGUGUUCUUAAUGUUUAGAAUUUGAAGCUUUGAAAACUAAAUUCUGGAUAUGGUAAUCAUAAUUCAGGGUUGGCAAAUUGACUAAAGAGAUGAAUUCUCCUUCAAUCAUAUUUAUAGGGUUAAUGGUUAUGAGGCAGCAAGCUGUGGAAAGUAUUCUUAAUUUAAAUAUACUCUAUCCCUAUCAACAAAUAAAAUUGUAAAGGAAGUGUGUUGAUCCUAUUACAUGAAGAGAUUGAAUUUAAAUGUUAUAAUAGUGAUGGGUUUUUCAUGAAAUGGGAAUGGGAAAAUCUGGAAGAUAAAAAUCCAAGUCGUUUAAAGGUUUAAAUAAGUUAUGACAAGUUGAUGAAUAGCAAUUAAUUAAUUGAAAUAAAGUCUAUAUCAACAUGGUGUCAACUACAA